CUUCUAUGGAGGAGAAAAGAUAAUUUUUUUUUGGUAGGAUUGCAAAUGGUAGAAACCACACAACCUGGCAGGAAGGAACUCAGUUCUAGUCCCACCUCUGCUUCUUACUAGCUGCAUAACCUUGGGCAAGUCAUUUCACAUCCCUGGCAUUUGUUUCCUUCAUCUAUAAGACAAGGCGGUUGGACUAGAUGAGCUCUGAAGUCCUUUUCAGGGCUAGUAUUCUAGGAAUCUGUAUGGGAAGUACUACUCGGGCCUGUAACCAACUAUUUAAAAUACAUACACACACAUCUCUGGAAUCUGUUUAGUGGUCAAAUGUCCUAAUUUGGGUGAAGGCUCAAUUUCCCUAUCUGUAAGGUGGGGAUAAAUAGAAACUACUUCGCAGAGUUGUUGAUAAAUGUAAAUUAGAUAAUACACAGAAAGUGCUUAGCCUGGUACCUGAUCUAUAGUGAAUGUUCAAAUAUGGUAGCUAUUGUCGUCGUUACUAUUAUUAUUAUGUGAUUGUCUAUCUGUAUAUCCCCAUUUGAUCAUAUCACUAGUGGGAAAAUAUGCAUUGAAUUCUUACUGAACAUCUAGAGUGUGCCCAGCAUCCUGGUGGCACUGGGAUACUGCAAUAUAUAAAACUUACCCUGUUCUUGUUUGGCAGGCAUUUUGUAUCUCAUCGAUAAAAAAAUCUGAAACAUUUAAAUAGCAGUAAGAGGCAGUAUAUACUCAAUGAGUAGGAUCAGUAAUGUAGAAGCUCAGAGAAGUGUUGAAGAAUUUGGAGAGGGUUUCAAGGAACAAGUGAGACUUGAAGGACAAGCAGACUAGUAGAGAGUAUAGAGCGGCUGUUUCAGCAUUGAGCAACAGUCAGAUAUUAUCUCCACUUCCUCCAGGCUUCUGCUGAAGGCAAAAUUUUCAAAUGUGUGAACAGUCCCAGACUCCUGAAGGCAGAUCCAAAGGGGUUUGUUCACAGCCCACAGCUCACAGUCAAGCUUUGUGAGCACACUUAGGAGCUGGUAGUGGUGGUGGUGGGGAUGGUGAGAGUGGGAAGGGGUGUCACAAUCCCUUUUAUUACCCUCCCUGGGGCAGAAAUCAUGGACCUGUCAUUACAUCAAAUUAUAACUCUCUUGCCUCAUUUGGGAUGCUGAUAGAAGCAUAAAGAUCAUGCCAGCCUGAUUUCUAAAUAAAGAGGCUUAAAAGAGAUUCUGUCAUCGUUAUAUUUUCUUCAUCUUCAGAAGUGUCUCUUCAGGGAAAGGGGCACCCUGAUCUUGGUGUAAUCUACUUAAGAACAAUAGACAGUCACAACCAUCUUAAAUUCUAUCUGCUGUUAAGAGAAAAGGGGAAAAAGUCAUUUUUUGAUGCUGUCAGGGGUUCUCAGGAUUUUCCUCAAGGCUCUGUCACUUUUUGGUUUCCAGUCAGUCAGAGUAGGAGUAAG
rnacentral:lncRNA from 1 species